rnacentral:rRNA from 1 species
GACGAACGCUGGCGGCGUGCUUAACACAUGCAAGUCGAACGGAAAGGCCCCUUUGGGGGUACUCGAGUGGCGAACGGGGGAGUAACACGUGAGUAACCUGCCCUUGACUUCGGGAUAACUUCAGGAAACUGGGGCUAAUACCGGAUAGGAAUCCUUGCUGCAUGGUGGGGGUUGGAAAGCUUCGGCGGUUUUGGAUGGACUCGCGGCUUAUCAGCUUGUUGGUGGGGUAGUGGCUUACCAAGGCUAUGACGGGUAGCCGGCCUGAGAGGGCGACCGGCCACAUUGGGACUGAGAUACGGCCCAGACUCCUACGGGUGGCAGAAGUGGGGAAUAUUGAACCAGGGGCGGAGGCCUGAUGCAGCAACGCCGCGUGCGGGAUGACGGCCUUCGGGUUGUAAACCGCUUUCAGCAGGGGCGAAGCUUGUGGUGACGGUACCUGCAGAAGAAGCACCGGCUAACUACGUG